rnacentral:misc_RNA from 1 species
GUGCGCCGCGCCAUGGUCCGUGAUAAUAUGUCGGCCGACUCCAUCAAGCUUCGUUAACGCAGCGAUUCUCCCAACAACCACGACCGCCACUCUCAGGGACUAUAAAUUUCGCAAAUUACACCGAUCGAGCGUUAAAACCAGUUCGAACAGUGAGAAUCGGUUUCUUGUCGGGACAAAGUCCUCCGAUGCUCUCUUCGACGAACCACAUUUUACCAACUUUUUUUCCCAACCCUGAUCGAUUAAAAGGGCCGGCACAUCGACGCAUUUAAUUGGCGAUGAACGCUCAGAGUAUCCAGAGGACAAACCAGCCGCGAAUCAGAAAAAGAAAGAUUCUCCUUUUACUGCAAACACUCCACUUGCGGAGACGUCCCGACUUCUUGCUGGUCGGAAAUCAGAGAACGGAGAGGGAUAUUCGAGGUUCAGACCAGGUGGACCAGGGAUAGUACUUCUUGCGCAUCGAGUUUGAUCUGCACGUUCAAGGCGACAGCCGAGGAUAAUCGAGACGAAUGUUUCGUUUAGAAGCGAGUCGAUCGAAUUCCUGUGGCUUUGAAACGGAGGAUACGGAAAGAGAGACGUGGCCGAUAUGCAGUGAACGAUCGAAAUUUUUCUUCGGCUCGGACUUAACGGUGACAGGUACCUAGUCCAUGUCAAAUUGUAAGUCGAUAUCCGGUCGGCUAGUCUGUGUUCCUCCUUCUUCUUGCGCCAGAGUAACGUAGCAUCUAUUUCAGAGAUAUCUGUUGACUGAGAGGAUGGAUGUUAAAGCGACUCGCUGACUUGAACCGGGUACAUUGAACUCAGCUGCCGCGCGCCGCCGCGCUGUAGUGCAACGUCGAACGCAUCCUAUGCUUAUAAACCGUAACGACACGUGGAACUAACGGACUUUGCCUGCAGCCCAUCUACACCCGCGGGAGCUGUUGCAGCUCUCUUCCUCUCUCACUCCACCGAUGACUUCCGCCAACUUCAUUUGGGGCUACGCGUGUACGCGCGAAAUUGUGACCCAACAUCGUAUGAUCUAGCCAGCAAAAGUCAUUAACUCUCGAUGGAUGUUGUUAUUACAGUCAGGUGCGAAGAUGAAACGGAACGCGCCACAAACAUCGGAUCCUGUCACGCUUCGAACGACUAGCAAUGGGCUUUGGCUUGUCUUCAUUGCUAUUCGGUAGUUAACGAUACUGAUGAAAUGUCUACUUAGACGGAUAAUAAACCAGUUUCACGAACAACUGUGCUCACAGCCGUGUAUAUAUUAUAUUACAUAGAAAUCUAUCUCCUUUCAAAUUACUGAGAAUGACAGUAAAAUUACGUCUCGUACUUUAAGAUGCGCUAUUUUGUGAGCUAUGUGCACUCGAUAAAGACUUUUAUGUAUUUUUUCGAGCAUCGAAGAUCAGAGAAAUGUAUCUAUAGCUUCUAAUGCUUUUCAUUGAAGUUAUUAAUAUUCGUGUGGUAAA